rnacentral:rRNA from 1 species
AUUGAACGCGGGCGGCAGGCUUAACACAUGCAAGUCGAGCGGGGUGAUGGUGCUUGCACUAUCACUUAGCGGCGGACGGGUGAGUAAUGCUUAGGAAUCUGCCUAUUAGUGGGGGACAACAUCUCGAAAGGGAUGCUAAUACCGCAUACGUCCUACGGGAGAAAGCAGGGGAUCACUUGUGACCUUGCGCUAAUAGAUGAGCCUAAGUCGGAUUAGCUAGUUGGUGGGGUAAAGGCCUACCAAGGCGACGAUCUGUAGCGGGUCUGAGAGGAUGAUCCGCCACACUGGGACUGAAACACGGCCCAGACUCCUACGGGAGGCAGCAGUGGGGAAUAUUGGACAAUGGGGGGAACCCUGAUCCAGCCAUGCCGCGUGUGUGAAGAAGGCCUUAUGGUUGUAAAGCACUUUAAGCGAGGAGGAGGCUCUUUUGGUUAAUACCCAAGAUGAGUGGACGUUACUCGCAGAAUAAGCACCGGCUAGCUCCGUGCCAGCAGCCGCCGUAA